rnacentral:rRNA from 1 species
GCAAUGCCGCGUGAGUGAAGAAGGCCCUUGGGUCGUAAAGCUCUUUUAUGGGGGAAGAUGAUGACGGUACCCCAAGAAUAAGCACCGGUGAACUAUGUGCCAGAAGACGCGGUAAUACAUAGGGUGCGAGCGUUGUUCGGAAUUACUGGGCGUAAAGGGCGCGCAGGCGGAAUAGUAAGUCGGAGGUGAAAGCCCGGGGCUCAACCCCGGAGGGUCUUUCGAAACUGCUAAUCUAGAGAGGGUCAGGGGCCGGCAGAAUUCCUGGUGUAGAGGUGAAAUUCGUAGAUAUCAGGAGGAAUACCGGUGGCGAAGGCGGCCGGCUGGGGCCACUCUGACGCUGAGGCGCGAAAGCGUGGGGAGCAAACAGGAUUAGAUACCCUGGUAGUCCACGCCGUAAACGAUGAGCACUGGACGUCCGGAGGGUUCGACCCUUCUGGGUGUCUCAGCUAACGCAUUAAGUGCUCCGCCUGGGGAGUACGGUCGCAAGACUAAAACUCAAAGGAAUUGACGGCCCCCC